rnacentral:rRNA from 1 species
UACAGAGACUGCAAGCGUUAUUCGGAUUUACUGGGACGUAAAGGGCGCGUAGGCGGUCAGCACAAGUCAGUUGUGAAAUCUCCGGGCUUAACUCGGAAAGGUCAACUGAUACUGUGCGACUAGAGUGCAGAAGGGGCAACUGGAAUUCUCGGUGUAGCGGUGAAAUGCGUAGAUAUCGAGAGGAACACCUGCGGCGAAGGCGGGUUGCUGGGCUGACACUGACGCUGAUGCGCGAAAGCCCAGGGGAGCGAAACGGG